rnacentral:pre_miRNA from 1 species
AACCACACGAAUCCGUGCUGAGAUUUCGUCAGACACCAACCCAUUAGGGCAGAUCAGACUUCCAAGAUAAGUGAAGAU